CCCUUAGACGUUCUGGGCCGCACGCGCGCUACACUGACCAGUGCAACAAGCAUCCGUCCUUGGCCGACAGGCCCGGGCAAUCUUUGAACGCUGGUCGUGAUGGGGAUAGACUUUUGCAAUUUUUGGUCUUCAACGAGGAAUUCCUAGUAAACGCAAGUCAUCAACUUGCAUUGAUACGUCCCUGCCCUUUGUACACACCGCCCGUCGCACCUACCGAUUGAAUGGUCCGGUGAAGCCUCCGGAUUGGCGCGCACCUCGGUGCCGCCGAGAAGUUGGCUAAACCUUACCAUUUAGAGGAAGGUGAAGUCGUAACA
rnacentral:rRNA from 1 species